rnacentral:lncRNA from 1 species
AAUUAUUUAAUUUUAGUUUUGAGAAUUGAGAUCAUUUAUGCAUUAUUCAAUAAUUUUAAAAACUAUGAAUGUAUUUAGAGCCCGUUUAGAUAGGAUUAAAAUUUGAUCAAACCAAUUUUUAAUCCCUUUUUAAAUUUUUUUUAGGUGUUUGGUAAAAUUAAAAAGUACUUAAAAAAAAAGCUAAAAACUAGUUAAAAAAGACAAAAAGUGAGAAGUGUGCUUAAAAAAAGCUAAAAACUGGUUAAAAAAGUAAAAAGUGAGAAGCUGGGUAUCCCCAACUUUUUACUUUUCAGAUUAAAAUUAUUUUACGUUUGACCAAAAUAUUUACCAUUUUUGCCUUUAUAUUUUCCUUCAAUUCCAACAAUAUCCUGAACUUGUAGCCCUUAAAUAUAUAAUUUUUCUUUCUUUUUCUCUUGGUUACUUCUCUCCGUCUCCUUCCUCCAAUUUCCUCUUCAUCUUUCUCCUUUGUUUUCAGAAAAUUCAUCAUUAUAUCAGAGGUUUAUAUUUUAACAUAGGCAAAUUAUUACGAGCUUGCAAUAUAACAAUAUAAUACUAUUUUUAUAUACAAAAAUGUCCUAAAUUUUUUAUUUUUUAACAUUUAAAAAUUUAAAAGUAAAUUAUAUUUAUAAAUUGACCUCAGAUAAUCACUUUACGCUAAAACUGCAUUUAAAUAGAAAUAUUUUUGAAUUAGUAGAAUUAAAAAUUAUAAAUAAUUCACCUUACUUAUGUUGUUAACAACUUUAAGGAUAUUUAAGUCAUUUUGACAACAAAAAAGUGCUUAGCAUCACUUGUUAACCAAACACAUCAAUAAUUUUUUUAAAAAAUUUGACCACUUCUAUCCAAACACUUAUCUUCUUAAUUUAUAUAAACACUUAUUUUAAAUUUUUAAUCACUUAAGCUAAAAAAGUAAUUUUUUAAUCUUAUCCAAACGAGCUCUUAGUAUUCCUAUCAAGAGUAAAAUGAGAAACAUAUGUAUAAAAUACUCCUAAUUUUAGAAUUGAGAUAAUGCAUCAAAAUCUCCUCGAACUUGUCUGUCCGACUUACUUUAGUACUUAAACUAAUCUUCUAUUUAUUUACCCCCUUAACAUCUUUAAAGUGAAUUAAUUUCCCCCCUUAAUAUAAUGCCGAGAGUGCAUCACACUCGCUGACACAUCAACGCCACAUCACUACCACGUCAGAGUCACGUAAAUAAAGUAUUUUUUAAUAUUUUUUUUAUAUAUAUAAAAUAUAUAUAAAAUAUUUUAAAUUAAAAAAAUACCCCAUCCCCCAUUUUCCAUCUUCUUCAUAACCACCCACCUCUCCUUCCCCUCCCCCCGGCGCCCGCCCCCUCACCUGCACACACACACACCAUCCACCCCUACACUGCCACACCUGCACACACACCUAUCUACCUCCGUCCACCCACACACAACCGCACCUGCACACACACGUCAUAUUUUUCGGCGAACUUUCGCCGGAAAAUGCCAUUACCAUCAUUGAAAAAAACCUGAAAAAAAAAAAAAACACAAUCAAAGGUGACUAGCAAUGGAGUUUUUGAUGCACGUGUGUUGAAUCUACAACAAUUACAAAUCAAGAAAUUACAAAUCAAAAAAUCAAAAAAUACUUUAUCACUUAAGAAAUUUUGUUGUAGAUUCAACAACAAAUCAAGAAAUCUCAUUUUUUUUGUUGUCAAAUUCAAG